AUGAAGCUGGAAUCGCUAGUAAUCGCGAAUCAGAAUGUCGCGGUGAAUACGUUCCCGGGUCUUGUACACACCGCCCGUCACACCAUGGGAGUCGGAAAUGCCCGAAGUCAGUGACCCAACCGCAAGGAGGGAGCUGCCGAAGGUGGAGCCGGUAACUGGGGUGAAGUCGUAACAAGGUAAC
rnacentral:rRNA from 1 species